rnacentral:rRNA from 1 species
UGGGGAAUAUUGCGCAAUGGGCGAAAGCCUGACGCAGCCACGCCGCGUGAGCGAUGAAGGCCUUCGGGUCGUAAAGCUCUGUGGGGAGAGAAGAAGAAAGCCCGUGAAGAGCGGGCCUUGACGGUAUCUCCUUAGCAAGCACCGGCUAACUCCGUGCCAGCAGCCGCGGUAAUACGGAGGGUGCAAACGUUGCUCGGAAUCAUUGGGCGUAAAGCGCACGUAGGCGGCGAAGCAAGUCGGGUGUGAAAGCCCUGGGCUCAACCCAGGAAGUGCAUUCGAAACUAUUGCGCUGGAAUCUCGGAGGGGGUCAGAGAAUUCCCGGUGUAGAGGUGAAAUUCGUAGAUAUCGGGAGGAAUACCAGUGGCGAAGGAGACUCGCUGGACUGAUACUGACGCUGAGGUGCGAAAGCGUGGGGAGCAAACA